rnacentral:rRNA from 1 species
ACUCCUACGGGAGGCAGCAGUGGGGAAUUUUGGACAAUGGGGGAAACCCUGAUCCAGCAAUGCCGCGUGUGCGAAGAAGGCCUUCGGGUUGUAAAGCUCUUUCAGUUGAAAAGAAAAAGUCGUGACUAAUAAUCAUGGCUCAUGACGGUAUCAACAGAAGAAGCACCGGCUAACUACGUGCCAGCAGCCGCGGUAAUACGUAGGGUGCAAGCGUUAAUCGGAAUUACUGGGCGUAAAGGGUGCGCAGGCGGUUCUGUAAGUCAGAUGUGAAAUCCCCGGGCUUAACCUGGGAACUGCGUUUGAAACUGCAGAGCUAGAGUGCGGCAGAGGGAGGUGGAAUUCCAUGUGUAGCAGUGAAAUGCGUAGAGAUAUGGAAGAACAUCGAUGGCGAAGGCAACCUCCUGGGCUAGCACUGACGCUCAUGCACGAAAGCGUGGGGAGCAAACAGGAUUAGAUACCCUGGUAGUCCACGCCCUAAACUAUGUCAACUAGUUGUCGGGUCUUAAUAGACUUGGUAGCGUAGCUAACGCGUGAAGUUGACCGCCUGGGGAGUACGGUCACAAGAUUAAAACUCAAAGGAAUUGACGGGGACCCGCACAAGCGGUGGAUUAUGUGGAUUAAUUCGAUGCAACGCGAAAAACCUUACCUACCCUUGACAUGUCAGAAAAUUUUCAGAGAUGAAUUUGUGCCCGAAAGGGAAUCUGAACACAGGUGCUGCAUGGCUGUCGUCAGCUCGUGUCGUGAGAUGUUGGGUUAAGUCCCGCAACGAGCGCAACCCUUGUCAUUAAUUGCCAUCAUUAAGUUGGGCACUUUAAUGAGACUGCCGGUGAUAAACCGGAGGAAGGUAGGGAUGACGUCAAGUCCUCAUGGCCCUUAUGGGUAGGGCUUCACACGUAAUACAAUGGCG